rnacentral:rRNA from 1 species
UACGGAGGGAGCUAGCGUUGUUCGGAAUUACUGGGCGUAAAGCGCGCGUAGGCGGCUUUGUAAGUUAGAGGUGAAAGCCCGGGGCUCAACUCCGGAACUGCCUUUAAGACUGCAUCGCUAGAAUCCGGGAGAGGUGAGUGGAAUUCCGAGUGUAGAGGUGAAAUGCGUAGAUAUCUGGAGGAAUACCGGUGGCGAAGGCGGCAUCCUGGACCGGCAUUGACGCUGAGGAGCGAAAGCUAGGGGAGCAAACGGG